rnacentral:snoRNA from 1 species
CUUCUGGUGAUGAGACCUUUGUCCAGUUCUGCUACUGAACUCGAGCGAUGACAGUUUGGAGAUCUGAAGAGG